ensembl:snRNA U6 U6 spliceosomal RNA
GUGCUUGCUUCAGCAACACAUAUACUAAAAAAUUAGAACACAGAGGUUAGCAUAUCCUCUAAGCAAGGAUAAGGUGAAAAUUCACCAAGUGUUCCAUAUUUUU